rnacentral:rRNA from 1 species
CGCGUAGGCGGUUAUUUAAGUCUGGGGUGAAAGGUUCAGCGCUCAACGUGAACAGUGCCUUGGAUACUGGAUGACUUGAGUCUGGGAGGGGGAAGGGGGAAUUCCUGGUGUAGCGGUGAAAUGCGUAGAUAUCAGGAGGAACACCGGUGGCGAAGGCGCCUUCCUGGCCUAAGACUGACGCUGAGGUGCGAAAGCGUGGGGAGCAAACG